UAAGGAAUUUUCGUCAAUGGGGGAAACCCUGAACGAGCAACGCCGCGUGGAGGAUGACGGUUUUCGGAUUGUAAACUCCUUUUGUAUGGGACGAUAAUGACGGUACCAUACGAAUAAGCCCCGGCUAACUCUGUG
rnacentral:rRNA from 1 species